GAGGCGGAAGUCCUAGGAGUGUUCGUUCGCCUCCUUGCCGCACCGCCCGGCGUACCGAGGCGGAAGUCUCCGCGCGCUGCCCCGGCGGGCUCCGCGCGCCUCAGUCCCGCCCCGCGCGCGACGCCUGCCGUCACGGGGCGGCCGCGCGGCGCUGCCUCUGGUCUGCGGGCCGGCCGGCCGCUAUGGGCCCAGCAGAGUGGAUUCCGGCGGGACGCUGCCCACUGCGAGGCGGCAGCCGAUAAAGGCCCGGAGCGAGCCGGGGUCCAGGGCGGGACGGGGAAACGCACAUCGCCACCGCUCGAUCCGUAGGAGCGGUUUCCUCCUCGCUGUCAACCCUUCACCGUGCAAUUCGAGGUCUUGUCCUGUGGUACUAAUCUGCUCUUGCAGCUUUCCUGACAUCUCCCACUACGUGUAAGAAGGCAACAUACAAUUUAAAGCCAGUGUAUUACAGUCUUUCCUUAAAAGCAGGAAGACAGAGCUCCCCUACAGUUCUGCCUGCAUCUGUGAGCUGGAGUUUUCCCAAUUUAUUCCCUUGCAAGAUGCAUCGGCUGUGUCACAGAACUGCUGCAGCAAGCUUCUGGAUGAGAAACAGUGGGGUCCUUCUCUAUCUUUUGCUUUACCUCAGCUAACCUUCAGUGGUUUUUUGACUACUCAUAAGUUGUCAGCAUAUCUGAAUUAGAAGAGAUGGACCGAACAGUGGCUUUGGAUGCAGAAGUAGUGGGCAUGUCGAAUUCCACAUCUACGUGGCGGAUAAAACUGGAAGGCACUUCCCGGUCAGAGCCAAGCUCUAGGUGACAGAAGAAGCAGUGUGGAUGGCCAGAAGCUGGAAAAAAAGAGCAAACAGACAUGAAAGUUGUCUUCCUUGGUUGAAAGAAGAUCUAAUCUAUGUAAAAGCAACAUCAUGAAACAGCAAGAAACUGAGAAUCUGCCUGGCUGAACUACUUUGCGGCAAAUGUCAGGAUCUUAUCCGUUUUAAUGCAAUUGAAACUCCAUACUCUGGAGUUUCAGUUCAGUUUAAUUACUCAGAGUAUAUAAAUUAAAUGAAUUGCAAUAAAAUAACUGCCAAUCAGUCCAGUUUGCUUUCAGUGGGUGAAAAUUCAAGAUGUAAAUCAAGCACCAUAGGUAAAGGUAUUUUCUCUCUUCUAAUUACCUCAGUCUAUGUAACAUGCUAAGAACACUGUGGCUAACCUUCUAAGUAUCAUGUAUUGAUAGUAAGUAAAGGUAGAUUUGGCAGAUAUUUCAUAGUUAUUUUUGAAAUUGUUAUCCCCAUUUACUGUGAAAGCAAACAUACUGGAUAACAUUAAAAAACUUUCCUGGCUUCAAAAAGCAUAUUUGUGCACAUCUUGGAAGUAACAAUCUAUUCCUCAUUCUAACCCUCCACAAGAUGGCCAAUCAUUAAAGAUGGAAAUAUGAGAAACCAA